AUGCGUCUAAUCAAAAAAACUUUUCUUAUUCGUCUUUUUCUAUCUUCUCACUCAUCUCCACUAUACCCCUCGUCUUCUAAUUCCUUCCAUUCGACCAAAGAAUUCUCUAUAAUAAUUCGCAAAUCCAAAUCUGCUAAUCGUUCUCUAAUAGCACCUGCUCCUGUCGCAAUUUCCCGAUUUCGAAAUGUUGUAAAGCCUGGGGUAGAAAAAAAGGGAGAAAUGCUGUGGUUACAGGAUGCAAUUUCCUCUUCGAAUAAACCUCGUAAUCAUAAAAAAGUGGGUUUUUUAGUGCUGGGCCUAGCAAAAGAGAAAUCGACGUAUACUAGGCCCUCCAACUUCUUAAGAGGUUUAUCUAAAAGAUUCGCGAUAUAA
rnacentral:rRNA from 1 species